UUCCUUCCCGCCACCCCCUAAUAGGAAUGCUUAGUUUUAUUUUGACUCUGGAAGAAGUCUCCUUUCUGAGGUUCAAUUCAGCUCAAACCAAAUGCAAAUAUCUCAGGAUGCCUUUAAAAGGCUUGAACUAAAAGAGGUCACCUAAAGUCAAUGACAAGCAUCCAGACUCUGUUAUAAUCUCUUAUGUGAAACUUCAAGGACAUCAAGUCUGCAAGAUACGAUUCUCUUAGUUCUAAGGAAGAUAUGAAAACACCAAGAAUAAUACUCAGGAUGUGAUAUACUUGAUGAAGUGGGAAGCCUCCUCCACCAGGCAUUCCUGCUAUAAAAAGUACUACCUCAUCACAGACCCAAAGCAGCAUGGCCAAGUGACCAUGGACUAAAACCUGUAGAACUACGAGACAAAAUAAACCUUUCUUUCCUCCUUAUAAGUUGAUUAUCUCAGACAUUUUGUCACAGUGACAGAAAGCCAACACAACACAGACAAAAACCUUAGACUAGUUUUAAAAAUUACACUUUGCCAUGGUUAAAGCAGUAGAUAAAUGACAGAGAAUCAGAUAUAUAAGCAUGAAGACUUCCAGGAGACAGGUGCUCAAAGUAGUCUUAUUUAACAUUUUUAUAAACGAUGUGAAAGAAACAGUACCCAGAAAAGUACGUAAGUUUGUAUUAAGUUCUUCUAGUUACCAGAAUGCCAAGUAACAGAUAAACAUCUCUUUAGCAUCAAUCUGACAAAUAUGGUAGGACCCUUUUAACCAAU